GUGUCAGCCGCCGCGGUAAAACGUAGGUGGCAAGCGUUAUCCGGAUUUACUGGGUGUAAAGCGUGUGCAGGCGGUUCUGUAAGUAGCGCGUGAAAGCGCCCGGCUUAACCGGGCGAGGACGUGCUGUACUGCAGAACUGGAGGCUGGUAGAGGCGAGUGGAAUUCCGGGUGUAGUGGUGAAAUGCGUAGAGAUCCGGAGGAACACCAGAGGCGAAGGCGACUCGCUGGGCCAGAACUGACGCUCAGACACGACAGCAUGGGGAGCGAACGGGAUUAGAUACCCCUGUAGUCC
rnacentral:rRNA from 1 species